AAUGACCACAAUUUCCACCUAAACAGCUUGACGAAUAUCAGCCUGUGUUAGGGAAUACGCCGGAGAAGUUUGGAAUUCUGUCAACAUGCUUAAGUGCCCGCUCAGCAAUCUGUCGUGUCCUAUAAUCACCAUGUUGAAAAGCAUCUACGAGGGCUGUGCUCACAUUUGGAUCACCAGAAACUUCCAACGCAAUAUCCUCUGUACGAAGUAAUCUUUCAACUGCCCAAACUGCUCUUCUGCGCAGAGUCUCAGUCCGCUUCUCAAGUAACACAAGUAGUAUAGGUUUGAUUCCUUCAGCCUCGCACAAUUCAUAGACACCUUGUUCAAUAUCAACUCCAUCAUCUAACAAAGUGCAUACAGCUGCAAGUGAUGCCUCGACAACCUUUUCAUUUGUGUGGUCCAGAAGUGCCACCAACUUGUCCACCGCUUGUCCUUCCAAGAGACAAAAGGUGUCUCUCAGAGAGCAUGUCCCCCGA
rnacentral:misc_RNA from 1 species